CCUACGGGUGGCAGCAGUGAGGAAUAUUUGUCAAUGGACGCAAGUCUGAACCAGCCAUGCCGCGUGCAGGAAGACGGCUCUAUGAGUUGUAAACUGCUUUUGUACGAGGGUAAACGCAGAUACGAGUAUCUGUCUGAAAGUAUCGUACGAAUAAGGAUCGGCUAACUCCGUGCCAGCAGCCGCGGUAAUACGGAGGAUUCAAGCGUUAUCCGGAUUUAUUGGGUUUAAAGGGUGCGUAGGCGGUCGGAUAAGUUAGAGGUGAAAUCUCGAGGCUCAACUUCGGAAUUGCCUCUGAUACUGUUCGGCUAGAGAGUAGGUGCGGUAGGCGGAAUGUAUGGUGUAGCGGUGAAAUGCUUAGAGAUCAUACAGAACACCGAUUGCGAAGGCAGCUUACCGAGCUACUUCUGACGUUGAUGCACGAAAGCGUGGGGAGCGAACAGGAUUAGAUACCCUAGUAGUC
rnacentral:rRNA from 1 species